UACGUAGGGUGCGAGCGUUAAUCGGAAUUACUGGGCGUAAAGCGUGCGCAGGCGGUUUUGUAAGCCAGAUGUGAAAUCCCCGGGCUCAACCUGGGAAUGGCAUUUGGGACUGCAAGGCUCGAGUGCGGCAGAGGAGACUGGAAUUCCUGGUGUAGCAGUGAAAUGCGUAGAUAUCAGGAGGAACACCAAUUGCGAAGGCAGCUCGCUGGAACGUAACUGACGCUGAGACGCGAAAGCGUGGGGAGCAAACAGG
rnacentral:rRNA from 1 species